GGGCCGGGCCACCGGGCACGGUCGGAGUCUGGCCCCGAUCCCUGUCCCUCUCGGCGAAUUUCCGAGGGGCUGCGUGCUGUGAGGUGGUGUGCGGCUCCCUCGGACAGCUGCGAGCCGCUAACAGUGCACAAAAUGUCAGAUAAAUAAUCUGUUCUUUCCCCUUAAUAUUACUUUUUUAGCGAAGACCGCAAUUCCACGGGCUCUUUUCAGUUCAUUUGCGGAGUAGUCGGAAGUCCCGCAGGAAAAUCCACACUGUUUCUCCCAACAUGCGAGGCCAACCUUACGCAAAGGGAGAAAUGAGCAGGACAAAUCCUGAGGCUUCCCUUGCUCCAAGGCCAAAGUUCUUCUUUGGAGUUCUGGGGAAUGGCAGGGCUGAUCCCACCUGAAGAGGGGCAUUUCCUGCAGCUGGCAGUGUCGGGUUGAAGGAGCCCCAGUAAAGCAAGCAGAGGGGCUCAGACAGCAACUCCUGCUUCUGAGCUUCCACAACGGCUGCCAGGUGUGCCCCGGCCACCCCAAAUACCUUCCCUACCAGCUGGGGGACAUCAUCCAUCAGCAGCAUUAAAGCCAAGGUUAAGAUGGGCACAGCUCUAGGUGGCCCAUAGCUUGGGGUUCAUCUCAGAAGGAGGGACUUCAUUUGGUCACAGAGAAGACGUGCCUUCCCUGCAAGGAGCAGUAAAGAAAAUCCACAGCCUCUUGAAGAGGCUUAAAUGUGAGUAAGCUUUUGUAGCCACUGAUGCUGUUGAGGAAGAGAUUGAACUGCUCAAGAAACUGCUGCCCGAGAUGGUGAGGUUUGAAGCCUCUCUGGAGGAGCUGGAACUCUCUAAGGAUGGGGGCUCGUGAUUCACCCGUGGAUUUGCGCACAUGCAAUGUAGCAAACCUGACUUUUAUUUCAGCCAAAGCUUAAUGUCACUGCCAGAAAACUGAGUAUGAUUUUUGGCCCAUGCUUGUUUACAAAUUGUGUAAGCCAUUAUAUAAUCAAGUAUAUCAUUGAGAUGUGUCUAGUAGAUGUAUAAUGGUUAUAUAUUGUGUGUGUGUAUAUGUGAUGAUUUCAUUAUCAUACCAUUUCACUGAACAGUCAAGUUCAUUGGAGUGAAAUCUGAUUACUUGCGUUUUAAAAAUUUUCCCCCUCCCCACAAACCC